CAGAAGGUUCUGGGCUGAAUC
rnacentral:snRNA from 1 species